UACGAAGGGAGCUAGCGUUGUUCGGAAUCACUGGGCGUAAAGCGCACGUAGGCGGAUGUGUCAGUCAGGGGUGAAAUCCCGGAGCUCAACUUCGGAACUGCCUUUGAUACAGCACGUCUUGAGUCCGAUAGAGGUGGGUGGAAUUCCUAGUGUAGAGGUGAAAUUCGUAGAUAUUAGGAAGAACACCGGUGGCGAAGGCGGCCCACUGGAUCGGUACUGACGCUGAUGCGCGAAAGCGUGGGGAGCAAACGGG
rnacentral:rRNA from 1 species